CGGUCUCAUACCGCGCUCGGUCUCGCGCACGUCAUCACAGAUCUUGAGCUGGUCGCACUCCCAAUGGUGAGCGUGAGAGACGAGAUUAGAUACGACGAUUUUGAGUACGCGACGACCACGAUGCUACGGCCGGCCGCGUAAUUUAUCAGUCGAAACAUA
rnacentral:snoRNA from 1 species